rnacentral:rRNA from 1 species
UACGAACUGUGCGAACGUUAUUCGGAAUCACUGGGCUUACAGGGUGCGUAGGCGGCUAUUCAGGUCAGGUGUGAAAGCCCCCGGCUCAACCGGGGAACUGCGCUUGAAACCGAGUGGCUCGAGUCAGCUAGAGGUACACGGAACUUCCAGUGGAGCGGUGAAAUGUGUUGAUAUUGGAAGGAACACCGGAGGCGAAAGCGGUGUACUGGGGCUGGUCUGACGCCGAGGCACGAAAGCCAGGGGAGCGAACGGG